UACGUAGGGGGCAAGCGUUGUCCGGAUUCAUUGGGCGUAAAGAGCGUGUAGGCGGCCAGGUAGGUCGGUUGUGAAAACUGGAGGCUCAACCUUCAGACGUCGACCGAAACCCCCUGGCUAGAGUCCGGGAGAGGAGAGUGGAAUUCCUGGUGUAGCGGUGGAAUGCGCAGAUAUCAGGAAGAACACCCGUGGCGAAAGCGGCUCUCUGGAACGGUACUGACGCUGAGACGCGAAAGCGUGGGGAGCGAACAGG
rnacentral:rRNA from 1 species